GAUGAACGCUGGCGGCGUGCUUAACACAUGCAAGUCGAACGAAGAUGCCGGAGUGCUUGCACUUUGGCAGACUGAGUGGCGGACGGGUGAGUAACGCGUGGGUAACCUGCCCUUAUACAGGGGGAUAACAGUUGGAAACGACUGCUAAUACCGCAUAAGCGCACGGUAUCGCAUGAUACAGUGUGAAAAACUCCGGUGGUAUAAGAUGGACCCGCGUCUGAUUAGCUUGUUGGUGAGGUAACGGCCCACCAAGGCGACGAUCAGUAGCCGGCCUGAGAGGGUGACCGGCCACAUUGGGACUGAGACACGGCCCAAAAUCCUACGGGAGCAGGCAAGUGGGGAAUAGUUGCACAAUGGGGGAAACCCUGAUGCAGCGACGCCGCGUGAGCGAAG
rnacentral:rRNA from 1 species